UGCGCAGGCGGGCUGGUAAGUCAGUAGUGAAAUCUCGGCGCUCAACGCCGAAACGUCUUUUGAUACUACCAGUCUUGAAUAAGCGAGAGAUCCGUGGAAUUCCGAGUGUAGCAGUGAAAUGUGUAGAUAUUCGGAAGAACACCAGAGGCGAAGGCAGCGGGUUGGCGCUUUAUUGACGCUCAGGCACGAAAGCAUGGGGAUCAAACAGGAUUAGAUACCCUGGUAGUCCAUGCCCUAAACGAUGAUCACUUGAUGUCGGCCGCAAGGUCGGUGUCGGAGCUAACGCGUUAAGUGAUCCACCUGGGGAGUACGCUCGCAAGGGUGAA
rnacentral:rRNA from 1 species